GGCGCAUUCGUCUAGUGGACUAGGACGCUGGCCUCUCACGUCGGUAACGGGGGUUCGAAUCCCCUAUGCGCCG
rnacentral:tRNA from 1 species